rnacentral:rRNA from 1 species
CACGGGGGGAGCAAGCGUUGUUCGGAAUCACUGGGCGUAAAGGGCGUGUAGGCGGUCAAGUAAGUGGGACGUGAAAGCCCCCGGCUCACCCGGGGAUCUGCAUCCCAAACUGCUUGGCUUGAGUAUGGGAGAGGAUAGGGGAAUUCCUGGUGUAGCGGUGAAAUGCGUAGAUAUCAGGAGGAACACCGGUGGCGAAGGCGCCUAUCUGGGACGGUACUGACGCUGAGACGCGAAAGCGUGGGGAGCGAACAGG